UACGAGUGCUCCAAGCGUUAUCCGAAAUCAUUGGGCGUAAAGGGUGUGUAGGCGGUCUCAUUAGUCUUCUGUCAAAUUCUUCGGCUUAACCGGGGGCUCGCAGAGGAAACGGUGAGACUUGAGGAUGCGAGAGGUGAAUGGAACUCAUGGAGUAGGGGUGAAAUCCGUUGAUAUCAUGGGGAACACCAAAUGCGAAGGCAGUUCACUGGCGCACUCCUGACGCUGAGACACGAAAGCGUAGGUAGCGAAUGGG
rnacentral:rRNA from 1 species